UACGUAGGUGGCGAGCGUUGUCCGGAUUUACUGGGCGUAAAGAGCGCGCAGGCGGUCAAGUAAGUCGAAUGUGAAAGCCCCCGGCUCAACUGGGGAGGGUCAUUCGAUACUGCUCGACUCGAAGGCAGGAGAGGGAAGUGGAAUUCCCGGUGUAGUGGUGAAAUGCGUAGAUAUCGGGAGGAACACCAGUGGCGAAGGCGACUUUCUGGCCUGUUCUUGACGCUGAGGCGCGAAAGCUAGGGGAGCAAACGGGG
rnacentral:rRNA from 1 species